rnacentral:rRNA from 1 species
UACGGGAGGCAGCAGUGGGGAAUAUUGCACAAUGGGCGCAAGCCUGAUGCAGCCAUGCCGCGUGUAUGAAGAAGGCCUUCGGGUUGUAAAGUACUUUCAGUCGUGAGGAAGGUGUUAAGGUUAAUAACCUUAGCAAUUGACGUUAGCGACAGAAGAAGCACCGGCUAACUCCGUGCCAGCAGCCGCGGUAAUACGGAGGGUGCGAGCGUUAAUCGGAAUUACUGGGCGUAAAGGGCACGCAGGCGGUUAAUUAAGUUGGAUGUGAAAUCCCCGGGCUUAACCUGGGAAUGGCAUUCAAGACUGGUUAGCUAGAGUCUUGUAGAGGGGGUAGGAAUUCCAUGUGUAGCGGUGAAAUGCGUAGAGAUGUGGAGGAAUACCGGUGGCGAAGGCGGCCCCUCGGACAAAGACUGACGCUCAUGUGCGAAAGCGUGGGGAGCAAACAGGGAUUAGAUACC